rnacentral:rRNA from 1 species
AUUGAACGCUGGCGGCAUGCCUUACACAUGCAAGUCGAACGGCAGCACGGGAGCAAUCCUGGUGGCGAGUGGCGAACGGGUGAGUAAUGUAUCGGAACGUGCCCAGUCGUGGGGGAUAACGCAGCGAAAGCUGUGCUAAUACCGCAUGAGACCUGAGGGUGAAAGCGGGGGAUCGCAAGACCUCGCGCUAUUGGAGCGGCCGAUAUCAGAUUAGCUAGUUGGUGGGGUAAAGGCCUACCAAGGCAACGAUCUGUAGUUGGUCUGAGAGGACGACCAGCCACACUGGGACUGAGACACGGCCCAGACUCCUACGGGAGGCAGCAGUGGGGAAUUUUGGACAAUGGGCGCAAGCCUGAUCCAGCAAUGCCGCGUGCAGGAAGAAGG